rnacentral:rRNA from 2 species
UACGUAGGUGGCAAGCGUUGUCCGGAUUUAUUGGGCGUAAAGGGAGCGCAGGCGGUCUUUUAAGUCUGAAUGUGAAAGCCCUCAGCUUAACUGAGGAAGAGCAUCGGAAACUGAGAGACUUGAGUGCAGAAGAGGAGAGUGGAACUCCAUGUGUAGCGGUGAAAUGCGUAGAUAUAUGGAAGAACACCAGUGGCGAAGGCGGCUCUCUGGUCUGUUACUGACGCUGAGGCUCGAAAGCAUGGGUAGCGAACAGG